GUCGAGCGACAGAUAAGGAGCUUGCUCCUUUGACGUUAGCGGCGGACGGGUGAGUAACACGUGGAUAACCUACCUAUAAGACUGGGAUAACUUCGGGAAACCGGAGCUAAUACCGGAUAACAUAUUGAACCGCAUGGUUCAAUAGUGAAAGGCGGCUUUGCUGUCACUUAUAGAUGGAUCCGCGCCGUAUUAGCUAGUUGGUAAGGUAACGGCUUACCAAGGCAACGAUACGUAGCCGACCUGAGAGGGUGAUCGGCCACACUGGAACUGAGACACGGUCCAGACUCCUACGGGAGGCAGCAGUAGGGAAUCUUCCGCAAUGGGCGAAAGCCUGACGGAGCAACGCCGCGUGAGUGAUGAAGGUCUUCGGAUCGUAAAACUCUGUUAUCAGGGAAGAACAAAUGUGUAAGUAACUGUGCACAUCUUGACGGUACCUGAUCAGAAAGCCACGGCUAACUACGUGCCAGCAGCCGCGGUAAUACGUAGGUGGCAAGCGUUAUCCGGAAUUAUUGGGCGUAAAGCGCGCGUAGGCGGUUUUUUAAGUCUGAUGUGAAAGCCCACGGCUCAACCGUGGAGGGUCAUUGGAAACUGGAAAACUUGAGUGCAGAAGAGGAAAGUGGAAUUCCAUGUGUAGCGGUGAAAUGCGCAGAGAUAUGGAGGAACACCAGUGGCGAAGGCGACUUUCUGGUCUGUAACUGACGCUGAUGUGCGAAAGCGUGGGGAUCAAACAGGAUUAGAUACCCUGGUAGU
rnacentral:rRNA from 1 species